rnacentral:lncRNA from 10 species
AUGUUGAUCGUUAAUUUACACAGAGGAUUCAGCUAUUCGGCGGUACAGAUUUGAACCUAGGCAGUCAGACUCCACAGAUUUUGCUAAUAAAUAGACAUUGUUUUGUGGUGUAAGAUGUUUUGGUCAAAUAACUUUUUUGGGCUUUAGAAGGCUGGAUAUUUAUGUAAGGAGCAUAACAAAGGUAAAUCUAUUUUGGUCUCUUUAGAUUUCUUCGCAAGACUAUGGAAAGGAAGUGGACCUCUACGCUUUGGGGCUAAUUCUUGCUGAACUUCUUCAUGUAUGUGACACUGCUUUUGAAACAUCAAAGUUUUUCACAGACCUACGGGAUGGCAUCAUCUCAGAUAUAUUUGAUAAAAAAGAAAAAACUCUUCUACAGAAAUUACUCUCAAAGAAACCUGAGGAUCGACCUAA